AGUCUGGUGCCAGCAGCCGCGGUAAUUCCAGCUCCAAUAGCGUAUAUUAAAGUUGUUGUGGUUAAAAAGCUCGUAGUUGGAUCUCAGUUCGAGUCAGGUGGUCCACUUGCCAGUGGCUACUGUCCUGACUGAACACUUUACCGAGCUGUCCUAUGGUGCUCUUCACCGAGUGUCAUAGGCGAUCGGUACGUUUACUUUGAAAAAAUUAGAGUGCUCAAAGCAGGCCUAACGCGCCCGAAUAAUGUUGCAUGGAAUAAUGGAAUAGGACCUCGGUUCUAUUUUGUUGGUCUUCGGAAUCUGAGGUAAUGAUCAAUAGGGACAGACGGGGUCAUUCGUAUUGCGGCGCUAGAGGUGAAAUUCUUGGACCGUCGCAAGACGAACUAAAGCGAAAGCAUUUGACAAGAAUGUUUUCAUUAAUCAAGAACGAAAGUUAGAGGUUCGAAGGCGAUCAGAUACCGCCCUAGUUCUAACCAUAAACGAUGCCAACCAGUAAUUCGCCUGAGUUCCUUAAAUGACUCGGCGAGGGACUUCCGGGAAACCAAAGUCUUUCGGUUCCAGGGGAAGUAUGGUUGCAAAGCUGAAACUUAAAGAAAUUGACGGAAGGGCACCACCAGGAGUGGAGCCUGCGGCUUAAUUUGACCCAACACGGGAAAACUCACCCGGCCCGGACACUGGAAGGAUUGACAGAUUGAGAGCUCUUUCUUGAUUCAGUGGGCGGUGGUGCAUGGCCGUUCUUAGUUGGUGGAGUGAUUUGUCUGGUUAAUUCCGAUAACGAACGAGACUCUAGCCUACUAAAUAGAUCGUCGGCUUACAAACGCCGACGAGACUUCUUAGAGGGACAGGCGGUGAUUCAACCGCACGAAACAGAGCAAUAACAGGUCUGUGAUGCCCUUAGAUGUCCGGGGCCGCACGCGCGCUACACUGAAGUGAUCAGCGUGCUUUUGUCAACCUACUCUGUCAAGAGUGGGGAACCCAAUGAACCUUCUUCGUGAUUGGGAUAGGGGAUUGUAAUUAUUCCCCUUGAACGAGGAAUUCCCAGUAAGCGCGAGUCAUAAGCUCGCGUUGAUUACGUCCCUGCCCUUUGUACACACCGCCCGUCGCUACUACCGAUUGAAUGUUUUAGUGAGGUCUUCGGACUGGCCGGUGCAGCUACUCUUGUAGUGGCAGCGCUGUGUUUGGAAAGAUGCCCAAACUUGAACAUUUAGAGGAAGUAAAAGUCGUAACAAGGUUUCCGUAGGUGAACCUGCGGAAG
rnacentral:rRNA from 1 species